UGGAGAAUGUAGCAACUAGCAAAACUUCAUUGAAGACAGCACCUUACAAAUGUGAUAUGAAUGCUUUACCAUCACCCCACGCUGUGUGAAUAAGUUGUUGAGAUACAAGUGUUGAACUGAGGUUGGCUAACAUGCUAAAUCAGAGACUAUUUAGCAGAGACGGACCACUUCUAUUAAUAUGAAUGGGAGAAACUGGAACGUCCAAUGGUCAACGGAUGUAGAAAGGAAAUUCCGCCCUACAGGUUUUGGAUGUAAGCAGCAAGAAGAAUAGAAAGAAGAAAGAAAGAAACAAAGAAAGGAAGGAAGAAAGAAAAAGGACAUGGAUGACACAUACUUCUGGCCAUGCUGAGUGCCGCAUCAAGGCUACUAUGGGAGCCAGUGAAGGUUUGCAGAACUAUCUCCUAUGCUUUCACCGCAGUCUAGGACAAAAGCCAUGAUUGACUUAUGCAACAAUAGAGCAAGUAGGAACACAUUUUGUGAAGUUGCACCAAAAUGUGUGAAUCACACUGCUGUUAUUGUGCAUAACUAUAAUUGCACCAUAAAAAUAUUCAUGUGUGGGUAAAAACAAAGCAGACUGCAUCAACGCUUCAACAAAGUCCUGAAGGAUUCAAUCCACAACAGAUAACAACACAACAGAACAAAGAUCAUAUAGUGCACAUUUGUGGGUGCAUGGACAAAUUCUGCUCUGAGUUGGAAGUGUGAAAUUAUUCAUGUCUGGACACCAGUUAAGCAAAACGGAACUGCAGUAAAGGUCUGGGCGUCUGACUAAAAAGAAAGAUGAGCCUGAUACACCAACAUUUAAUGUGCCAACAGCAGCAGUGCAAUUUAUUAUUCUCUCUGAACGUAAAAUAGCUUUUGUGUUAGUUUUGUGUUUAGCAUUGUCUUUAAUAUGGAUAAAGAUCGGGGAUGGACAGAGCUGAGAAUUUAAGACUUGGCUUGACAAAUCACACUGUGAAUCUGUGCGACAGUAGGUCAAAAGUUCUGCUGUUGAAAUCGGCCUGUGCUUGCCGAAAUUUGAAUCACUGCCCCCAGUGGCCGAAGCUGGAAGUGUUGUUAAAUGCAUGAGCACGUGUGAGCUCCAGUUUGGGUGAAGUGUCCACAGAGUGGAACUAAAAGUGAGUUUUUUAAUUGUAAAUGAUGGAAUACAGUCAACAGGAAUGAAUAUUUUAUUAACUCUACCCCUUAGCCAAACCCUAAACCUAACUCUGAGUGGAGUAAAAGUGUCAUUUUAGAGGGAAAUGCAACAAAACCGUGUAAUAUGCUGUAUUUGCUAUCUGUUAAGGUAUACACUUUUAUAUUACUAAAACAAUUGUGAUAUUUACCUUAUUCAACCCCGCCCCUUUUCCACACUCCGCUCUUCCGAAUUUUGUCAUCUAAUUUCCUGUUUGUAUUGAAGCUACUGAGAAGAGUCGAUCUACAUGGAUUACGUGUGGGAGCACAGAAAGUAUUUUUUCACCAAGAGUUGAUGGUGUGAGUCUACUCCACCCCUUUAAUACGUGAAAAUGGUAGUGAGGUGUUUUUCUGUCACUGUAAAUGUUCGUUUUUUCACUCACAGAGGUAAAUUGGACCUGAUAGAUCACAUUCAGACAGCUAUGACACACUGCACUUAUUCUUGAUGCAAGCGUUUAAUUGUUAUACAUGUAAUUCUGCUUAAUUUUUAUGUUUCAGCUUGUUAAUAAUUUGUGUUAAAAUGUGUAGUUGACAGCUCGUACUGUUACACAUGCAAGUUCAUAACAUUAAAGCAAAUUUCAAUUUUACUUUUUAAAAUGAAUUUGUCACCCUACAUUUUUUAGAGGCUUAAAUGUGAUUUAAAAAUGGUUGUUAUCAGAAUAUAAAAUAAAACAUACACCUUCACAUGUA